ACAAGGCAGCAGGAGCAGAGAGCAGCCAUUGCUGUGUCUGGCAGCAGAGGUGUGAAGAAGACAUCUGGUGAGCGUGAGACACCCAGCAGCCAUCCUCGUGUGACAGGAGGACUGAGCAGGUCCCAGAGCCCCAUCACGGUGCCUCCACCUCACUCACUGGUACAUGAGAGACACAGUGACCAGAAGAUCCAGGAACUCACCAACAAGAUCAUUCAGCUGCCGACUGGAGAGGAGGGUGAGUGUAUAGAGGAACACAGGGGUCUGUACAAGGACGUGAUGAUGGAGAAUCACCGACCCCUCUUAUCACUGG